GGUAUGUAGAAGAAUUGAUUAGCAACUUUUAUGAUUGCAAUUAGGUAUGCUGAGUGAUAUGACCAAUGUUCAUUUCUAUUGUCGGGAAAUCAAAGCCUUCGCUCAUACAAGUUUAUUCUGGAAGCCUUCGCUGUGCUCAUGCAAUUCAUCAGUGCUUGGAAGAGGAGAGGGAAAAGAUAAUGACCAUACCUAGAAAGGAGAAGAAAAGAAAA